GACGAACGCUGGCGGCGUGCUUAACACAUGCAAGUCGAACGGAAAGGCCCUGCUUUUGUGGGGUGCUCGAGUGGCGAACGGGUGAGUAACACGUGAGUAACCUGCCCUUGACUUUGGGAUAACUUCAGGAAACUGGGGCUAAUACCGGAUAGGAGCUCCUGCUGCAUGGUGGGGGUUGGAAAGUUUCGGCGGUUGGGGAUGGACUCGCGGCUUAUCAGCUUGUUGGUGGGGUAGUGGCUUACCAAGGCUUUGACGGGUAGCCGGCCUGAGAGGGUGACCGGCCACAUUGGGACUGAGAUACGGCCCAGACUCCUACGGGAGGCAGCAGUGGGGAAUAUUGCACAAUGGGCGGAAGCCUGAUGCAGCAACGCCGCGUGCGGGAUGACGGCCUUCGGGUUGUAAACCGCUUUCGCCUGUGACGAAGCGUGAGUGACGGUAAUGGGUAAAGAAGCACCGGCUAACUACGUGCCAGCAGCCGCGGUGAUACGUAGGGUGCGAGCGUUGUCCGGAUUUAUUGGGCGUAAAGGGCUCGUAGGUGGUUGAUCGCGUCGGAAGUGUAAUCUUGGGGCUUAACCCUGAGCGUGCUUUCGAUACGGGUUGACUUGAGGAAGGUAGGGGAGAAUGGAAUUCCUGGUGGAGCGGUGGAAUGCGCAGAUAUCAGGAGGAACACCAGUGGCGAAGGCGGUUCUCUGGGCCUUUCCUGACGCUGAGGAGCGAAAGCGUGGGGAGCGAACAGGCUUAGAUACCCUGGUAGUCCACGCUGUAAACGGUGGGUACUAGGAGUGGGGUCCAUUCCACGGGUUCCGUGCCGUAGCUAACGCUUUAAGUACCCCGCCUGGGGAGUACGGCCGCAAGGCUAAAACUCAAAGGAAUUGACGGGGCCCCGCACAAGCGGCGGAGCAUGCGGAUUAAUUCGAUGCAACGCGUAGAACCUUACCUGGGUUUGACAUGGAUCGGGAGCGCUCAGAGAUGGGUGUGCCUCUUUUGGGGUCGGUUCACAGGUGGUGCAUGGCUGUCGUCAGCUCGUGUCGUGAGAUGUUGGGUUAAGUCCCGCAACGAGCGCAACCCUUGUUCACUGUUGCCAGCACGUUAUGGUGGGGACUCAGUGGAGACCGCCGGGGUCAACUCGGAGGAAGGUGGGGAUGACGUCAAGUCAUCAUGCCCCUUAUGUCCAGGGCUUCACGCAUGCUACAAUGGCUGGUACAGAGAGUGGCGAGCCUGUGAGGGUGAGCGAAUCUCGGAAAGCCGGUCUCAGUUCGGAUUGGGGUCUGCAACUCGACCUCAUGAAGUCGGAGUCGCUAGUAAUCGCAGAUCAGCAACGCUGCGGUGAAUACGUUCCCGGG
rnacentral:rRNA from 1 species